ACACAUGCAGUCGAGCGGUAACAGGUCCAGCUUGCUGGAUGCUGACGAGCGGCGGACGGGUGAGUAACGCAUAGGAAUCUACCCGGUAGUGGGGGAUAACCUGGGGAAACCCAGGCUAAUACCGCAUACGUCCUACGGGAGAAAGGGGGCUUCGGCUCCCGCUAUUGGAUGAGCCUAUGCCGGAUUAGCUGGUUGGUGAGGUAAUGGCUCACCAAGGCGACGAUCCGUAGCUGGUCUGAGAGGAUGAUCAGCCACAUCGGGACUGAGACACGGCCCGAACUCCUACGGGAGGCAGCAGUGGGGAAUAUUGGACAAUGGGGGCAACCCUGAUCCAGCCAUGCCGCGUGUGUGAAGAAGGCCCUCGGGUUGUAAAGCACUUUCAGCGAGGAAGAACGCCUGUCGGUUAAUACCCGGCAGGAAAGACAUCACUCGCAGAAGAAGCACCGGCUAACUCCGUGCCAGCAGCCGCGGUAAUACGGAGGGUGCAAGCGUUAAUCGGAAUUACUGGGCGUAAAGCGCGCGUAGGUGGCUUGAUAAGCCGGUUGUGAAAGCCCCGGGCUCAACCUGGGAACGGCAUCCGGAACUAUUAGGCUAGAGUGCAGGAGAGGAAGGUAGAAUUCCCGGUGUAGCGGUGAAAUGCGUAGAGAUCGGGAGGAAUACCAGUGGCGAAGGCGGCCUUCUGGACUGACACUGACACUGAGGUGCGAAAGCGUGGGUAGCAAACAGGAUUAGAUACCCUGGUAGUCCACGCCGUAACGAUGUCGACCAGCCGUUGGGUGCCUAGCGCACUUUGUGGCGAA
rnacentral:rRNA from 1 species